rnacentral:lncRNA from 1 species
UAGCCUUAAAUGAUUAUUUCUUCUCUCCAAAUGUUACAAUACAGCAAUGCCUUUUAUAAUAUCCCCUUUAUCUAUUUUUUUCUGGUACAUUUGAGUGAAGGGGGGCUCAGUAUUUCACAAAGCAACCCUUUCCAUCAGUGGACACUUAUAACUGUAAAGAAGUUCUUCUUAUCUUGAACUGCUAUCCUAAUUCCUGAAUCCUCUCACACUCUGGUCAUAAUCCUGCCUUCUAGGUCCCAUUUAUCAGUUAAUGGA